GCGCCGGUAGCUUAAGGUAUAGCAUCGCUGAACGAAAAGCGGAAGAAGCGGGUUCGAGUCCCGCGUUGCGCA
rnacentral:tRNA from 1 species